GAGUUUUCGGGCUUCGGCUCGACUCUCCCACCCUUUGUGAACGUACCUCUGUUGCUUUGGCGGCUCCGGCCGCCAAAGGACCUUCAAACUCCAGUCAGUAAACGCAGACGUCUGAUAAACAAGUUAAUAAACUAAAACUUUCAACAACGGAUCUCUUGGUUCUGGCAUCGAUGAAGAACGCAGCGAAAUGCGAUAAGUAAUGUGAAUUGCAGAAUUCAGUGAAUCAUCGAAUCUUUGAACGCACAUUGCGCCCCUUGGUAUUCCGGGGGGCAUGCCUGUUCGAGCGUCAUUACAACCCUCAAGCUCUGCUUGGAAUUGGGCACCGUCCUCAUUGCGGACGCGCCUCAAAGACCUCGGCGGUGGCUGUUCAGCCCUCAAGCGUAGUAGAAUACACCUCGCUUUGGAGCGGUUGGCGUCGCCCGCCGGACGAACCUUCUGAACUUUUCUCAAGGUUGACCUCGGAUCAG
rnacentral:rRNA from 1 species